AUGACCCACCUCCACUAUCCCCACUAUCUCCACCAUCCCCACCACUCCCACCAUCUCCACCAUCCCCAACUUCUUUAAAGAGAAAGAGAGAGAGAGGGAGAGAGAGAGAGAGAAAGAGAGAGAGAGAGAGAAAGCUCACCUGAGCUCCUCGCCGGAGCAACCGUGUGCCGUGAUCACGUUCAGCUUGCCACCACCGAUAAACGCCCUAGGUAACCGCCGAAAACCGCAUUUCUUAAGCUCAUUUUCGUUUCCGUUUAGUAAAUCACCCAUAACUUCCUAACCAUUGAUCAUCUCGUACAUCCAAGGCCAUCAUCGUGUUCCUCUCGUCGAGACGAAGCCGUAGACACCAACCACACCUCAAACGGAUCCCGGACGAAGCCGCACGCGCCUCCCGAAGAUUCGCCUCGGCGCGCGCGUGAAACACACGCGCCACCGCCGUCCGCCGGAGCCACCGCGAGUUCCGGCCACGCGCCGCCGUCUCCGACCAAAGUUCGCCGGAGCCGCCGUGACUGACCACCGUCCGUCCGCCGCCGAGAAGCCGCCGUCGCCGCCGUUGAUUUUCCGAUUUGGAGUCCAUUUGAGCAGCUGGAGUUCAUAGAUACCACCUCUUAUUGUUGCUAAAGUGAGACCGAUGAGCAGUAGUGAUUAUCGGACCGGUGCUAUUGGGCUUUUGGGCUUCUAUCGCUUUUACCGCUUUUAUCUUUAUCGGGCCUUUAGGCCUUUGGACUUUUAUCGUCUAUGUUAUUCCUAUUUCAGACUUUCGGUUUAUAUCGUAUUUUAUAUUUCAGAUGUUAUCGAUGUUGGGUUUUUAGGCCUUUUGUUACCGUAUUGACUUUUAUAUUAUAUGAAGAUUAUUAUUA